rnacentral:tRNA from 1 species
UCCCUGGUGGUCCAGUGGCUAAGACUCUGUGCUUCCAGUGCAGGGGUGUAGGGGACACAGGUUCAAUCCCUGGUCAGGGAA